UCCAAACGCCUAUACAUUUCUCCCCAUGC
rnacentral:piRNA from 1 species